CCUACGGGAGGCAGCAGUGAGGAAUAUUGGUCAAUGGUCGGAAGGCUGAACCAGCCAAGCCGCGUGAAGGACGAAGGUGCCAAGUAUUGUAAACCUCUUUUGUCAAGGGACAAAAACUGGCACGCGACCCCGAACGAGGGUACUUGAAGAAAAAGCAUCGGCUAACUCCGUGCCAGCAGCCGCGGUAAUACGGAGGAUGCGAGCGUUAUCCGGAUUUAUUGGGUUUAAAGGGUGCGUGGGCGGGCUGUUAAGUCAGCGGUAAAAGCCCGGGGCACAACCCCGGCGAGCCGUUGAAACUGGCAGUCUUGAGAUGUCGAGAGGUAUGCGGAAUGCGCGGUGUAGCGGUGAAAUGCUUAGAUAUUGCGCAGAACUCCGAUUGCGAAGGCAGCAUGCCGGCGGCAAACUGACGCUGAGGCACGAAAGCGUGGGUAUCGAACAGGAUUAGAUACCCCUGUAGUC
rnacentral:rRNA from 1 species